rnacentral:rRNA from 1 species
GAUGAACGCUGGCGGCGUGCCUAAUACAUGCAAGUCGAGCGAACGGACGAGAAGCUUGCUUCUCUGAUGUUAGCGGCGGACGGGUGAGUAACACGUGGAUAACCUACCUAUAAGACUGGGAUAACUUCGGGAAACCGGAGCUAAUACCGGAUAAUAUUUUGAACCGCAUGGUUCAAAAGUGAAAGACGGUCUUUCUGUCACUUAUAGAGGGAUCCGCGCUGCAUUAUCUAGUUGGUAAGGUAACGGCUUACCAAGGCAACGAUGCAUAGCCGACCUGAGAGGGUGAUCGGCCACACUGAAACUGAGACAGGGUCCAGACUCCUACGGGAGGCAGCAGUAGGGAAUCUUCCGCAAUGGGCGAAAGCCUGACGGAGCAACGCCGCGUGAGUGAUGAAGGUCUUCGGAUCGUAAAACUCUGUUAUUAGGGAAGAACAUAUGUGUAAGUAACUGUGCACAUCUUGACGGUACCUAAUCAGAAAGCCACGGCUAACUACGUG